rnacentral:rRNA from 1 species
AUUGAACACUGGAGGCAUGCUUUACACAUGCAAGUCGGACGAGUGGCGCACGGGUGAGUAAUGUCUGGAAAAGUGACUGAUGGAGGGGGAUAAAUACUGGAAAGGGUAGCUAAUACCGCAUACCAUCAGAUGUGCCCAGAUGGGAUUAGCUAGUGGGUGGGGUAAUGGCUCACCUAGACGAAGAUCCCUAGCUGGUCUGAGAGGAUGACCAGCCACACUGGAACUGAGACACGGUCCAGACUCCUCCGGGAGGCAGCAGUGGGGAAUAUUGCACAAUGGGCGCAAGCCUGAUGCAGCCAUGCCGCGUGUGUGAAGAAGGCCUUCGGGUUGUAAAGCACUUUCAGCGGGGAGGCGUUACCCGCAGAAGAAGCACCGGCUAACUCCGUGCCAGCAGCCGCGGUAAUAC